UACAGGGGGAACAAGCGUUAUUCAUCAUGACUGGGCGUAAAGGGUUUGUAGGUGGAGGCGUAAGUAUAUAAGGAACAAGACUUAUUUAAACUGGGCUUCUUGAGUUUGGAGGAGGAUAAAUGUAUUUGUGAUGGAGAGGUGAAAUUUGUAGAUAUCAAAAGGGACAACCAAUUGGUGAAGGCGUUUAUCUAGGACAGAACUGACACUGAGGGACGAAGGCGUGGGGAGCAAAUGAG
rnacentral:rRNA from 1 species